AUGGGUCAUCUCAGGAAAAGCAACAAAAAUAGAAUGGAAGAUGAAGAGGGCAAUGAAAACGACAACAGUGCAAAUGAUGCAGGAGAGGAGGAUGAAGAUGGAUUGCCAAAUUGUGAUGUGAAGAAUGUGUAUGUUAAGGAUGACUUCUUCGAUUCACUUUCUUGCCUUACACUUGAUGGUGGGUCAGGAAGAGGAAGAGGAAGAGAAGAGCCAAGUUUUCUAAACAAAAGAAAAUAGAUAUUGAGACUUUUGGUGAAGUUCCA